GACGAACGCUGGCGGCGUGCUUAACACAUGCAAGUCGAACGGAAAGGCCCUGCUUUUGUGGGGUGCUCGAGUGGCGAACGGGUGAGUAACACGUGAGUAACCUGCCCUUGACUUUGGGAUAACUUCAGGAAACUGGGGCUAAUACCGGAUAGGAGCUCCUGCUGCAUGGUGGGGGUUGGAAAGUUUCGGCGGUUGGGGAUGGACUCGCGGCUUAUCAGCUUGUUGGUGGGGUAGUGGCUUACCAAGGCUUUGACGGGUAGCCGGCCUGAGAGGGUGACCGGCCACAUUGGGACUGAGAUACGGCCCAGACUCCUACGGGAGGCAGCAGUGGGGAAUAUUGCACAACGGGCGGAAGCCUGAUGCAGCAACGCCGCGUGCGGGAUGACGGCCUUCGGGUUGUAAACCGCUUUCGCCUGUGACGAAGCGUGAGUGACGGUAAUGGGUAAAGAAGCACCGGCUAACUACGUGCCAGCAGCCGCGGUGAUACGUAGGGUGCGAGCGUUGUCCGGAUUUAUUGGGCGUAAAGGGCUCGUAGGUGGUUGAUCGCGUCGGAAGUGUAAUCUUGGGGCUUAACCCUGAGCGUGCUUUCGAUACGGGUUGACUUGAGGAAGGUAGGGGAGAAUGGAAUUCCUGGUGGAGCGGUGGAAUGCGCAGAUAUCAGGAGGAACACCAGUGGCGAAGGCGGUUCUCUGGGCCUUUCCUGACGCUGAGGAGCGAAAGCGUGGGGAGCGAACAGGCUUAGAUACCCUGGUAGUCCACGCUGUAAACGGUGGGUACUAGGUGUGGGGUCCACUCCACGGGUUCCGUGCCGUAGCUAACGCUUUAAGUACCCCGCCUGGGGAGUACGGCCGCAAGGCUAAAACUCAAAGGAAUUGACGGGGCCCCGCACAAGCGGCGGAGCAUGCGGAUUAAUUCGAUGCAACGCGUAGAACCUUACCUGGGUUUGACAUGGAUCGGGAGUGCUCAGAGAUGGGUGUGCCUCCUUUGGGGUCGGUUCACAGGUGGUGCAUGGCUGUCGUCAGCUCGUGUCGUGAGAUGUUGGGUUAAGUCCCGCAACGAGCGCAACCCUUGUUCACUGUUGCCAGCACGUUAUGGUGGGGACUCAGUGGAGACCGCCGGGGUCAACUCGGAGGAAGGUGGGGAUGACGUCAAGUCAUCAUGCCCCUUAUGUCCAGGGCUUCACGCAUGCUACAAUGGCUGGUACAGAGAGUGGCGAGCCUGUGAGGGUGAGCGAAUCUCGGAAAGCCGGUCUCAGUUCGGAUUGGGGUCUGCAACUCGACCUCAUGAAGUCGGAGUCGCUAGUAAUCGCAGAUCAGCAACGCUGCGGUGAAUACGUUCCCGGG
rnacentral:rRNA from 1 species